UUUUAUGCUAUUAAUUAAUUCUCAAUUUCAUAAUGUCUUUUAGAAUACUAUGGAAGAAUCAAAGAGCACUUUAAAGUCUUCUACCACUUUAGAAGACAAAAAAUGUCUCACUGAGGGUCAAAUUUUGAAAAAACAAUUAUCAGAAAUGAAAAGGUUGCAUGAAAAGGAAUUGAUUGAACUGCGACAAGCAAAUAUUGAUUUGGAAUUCGAAAAAAAACAAUUGGAAAAAGAUUUCAAAAAAGAACACGACGAAAAUAAGAAUUUGAAAUUACAAGUUAAACAGUUGAAACAAAUGUUAAAUGAAUCUAAUGAACAACUAAACUAAACUAAAAAAUAAACUCCAGAAAUUUACGAUAUUCGCUCUCUUCGUGGUAGGGGCAAUGAAUCCAAGAGCGAUGCCGGCGGUAGCAAAGCUACUGGUAGGGCCACCCAUGCCGGUAAGGUCGAGGAGGAGUCCCGAAGCGAAGACCAAUCCUUAACAAAUCGAAUUGUUUUUUAAACGCAUAUUUACUUUGUUUCAUCAAAAACUAUGGAGGGAAGCAAAACUUUACGUUAUGUUUGUACUCUGACAACCUUAAAAAUAAAUCUCACUCUCAAAGUGUAAUGUCCACCAUUCAAAGGUUUAACUCUUUAAAUGUUAUCCAAGAAAGCAAGAGGUAUCAUCGACUAGCAUCCAAUCCGCAUACUAUUUUGUUUCCUUCAAUUCAUAUGUCCAUGAACCUAGCAAAGAGAGGUCUUGUAAUGUCCUAUGUUCAUCAGUAAGGAACAACAAUUCAUCACGAUUCUCGAUUAAAUAUAGUGACAUUCGAAGGAUGGAUUGUAGUAAAUUUCAUUUAGUUAUAGUUGGGUUUCCGAUUAAAAACUUACACAAAUCUAAAGUUUUUUGUUAUCAACUCGUAUCAUUUUCACUUAUAUUUACGGUCGAAGUAACAUUAAAAAAGAUGGAAGAUAAAGAAGUACUACGUCGACCACUUUAUGCAUAGCAUCAUCUGUGUCUAUUAUAAAAUCAGAUAAUGGCAUACGAUGACAUUUACCUUAAAUAAAGUUGAUUUUGAUGGAGUUUAUACGCUGGAAAAGUGGAUAAGACAUUUAAAAUACUUGCACUAUUAGAUGUCGCUUACCUUUUGGAAUGACCAGGGUAAUGUAUGAAAUUUUAACAAUACCUGAAGUUUAUUAGUGCAUAAUAAAAUAAAUUUUAAAUAACACCGACCAAAUAAUAGAAGAAAAUAUUAAAGUAAUAUCUCAAGCACCAGAACCGGUAAACAAUGCAAGCUAGUAGAACCGUUGUGUCGAUUAUAAGGAAAAGAAACAAUCAAGUAGCAAAAGAACUGAAUGUUAUGGUCCUUUGGCUUUUGCACUAAGAGAUGUCACUACGAGAAGCACUAUUCAAAAGUCAUAUACCAUAUAUUAAAAUACUUUAUUGAUGAGAAAUAUAAAACAAAAUGUGAAAUGAUGAUGAAAAUGACGAAAAUGAAAUUGGUAAACAACGUAAGGGACAUUUUAAAAUUUGUAGAAUACAACAGCGUGAAUGGAAAACCAGAACAACGUAAUGAUCGAGCUAAUUUAAAGUGGUGUUCAUAUUAAAAAAAAAACAGGUGAAUAUCUAACAAAACUUUAACUAAAAUCUAACGAUCAGUAUAGCAGAACAUCAAUAACUUAUAAAACUAAGAGAGCAAUAACGGAAACAACUCUAUGGUUUGUGCAAAUCUAUAACUGCAAUAUUUUACGAAAGAUAUCUGGAGAGUUAAAACCUUUUUCCGCCUGAAAACAAAUCUUCUGAGUGGAUCCAGCAUAAAUAACGAUAAUGAUAUCAGCCUACAGAUUCGAAGAAGAAUUCAAGUUCAAGUGUCUCUUAUCAGGCCUAUUCUGUUGUAAAAUAUAGAAGCUUAAAAACUAAAUAUAAUGUGGAUUUCAAUUUUACAUCUGAUACACACGAUAACAUUAUCGUAGGCAUGCGGUUGAUAAUAUCGAAUAGAAAAUAUUUUGUUUCGCUAGUUGCCGGUGGAAAAUGCGGUCGAGGACAUUCACAUCUGACUGUUCUUGGAACUACCAACCAAUAAUAGCAAACCGCUGAUCGGGUUGACUGAAAUAAGCAAUGAGAUGUGGUAAAGGAUACUACACAUCUGUGAUGGUCUAUAAAAGUCAACUAAUUAAUAACCCAAGUAAAAGUGAAUAAGCACACUUUCCUGGAGUUGAGAGCUACCAAAUCCAAACGUGACUUUUCCAGAAACACAACUUGAUGUCCCAUUUCGCAAAAAUCAUGCGUUCGAAUAAUAUCGUAUAGUUCUACCGUUAAUGAAACCAAGCGCGAAGGCCGGAUUCAAGAAGCUGCGGGUGUUAAAUUAUGUAAG